AUUGAACGCUGGCGGCAGGCCUAACACAUGCAAGUCGAACGAGUGGCGGACGGGUGAGUAAUGUCUGGGAAACUGCCCGAUGGAGGGGGAUAACUACUGGAAACGGUAGCUAAUACCGCAUACCAUCGGAUGUGCCCAGAUGGGAUUAGCUAGUGGGUGGGGUAACGGCUCACCUAGGAGACGAUCCCUAGCUGGUCUGCGAGGAUGACCAGCCACAGGGGAACUGAGACACGGCCCAGAAUCCUAGGGGAGGCAGCAGGGGGGAAUAUUGCACAAUGGGGGCAAUCCUGAUGCAGCCAGGCCGCGUGUAUGAAGAAGGCCUUCGGGUUGUAAAGUACUUUAAGCGGGGAGGCGUUACUCGCAGAAGAAGCACCGGCUAACUCCGUGCCAGCAGCCGCGGUAAUAC
rnacentral:rRNA from 1 species